GAGAGUUUAUAGUGCUCGUAAUUUGUGCUUGAGAAGAUGAUUCAAGGAGGGCAUGAUAGCUAUGUUCAAGAUGUGAAAGGCUGUCAUAUGAGAGAGGAAUGAGAUUUGCUUUGCGGGUUUCGUGGAGCACUCAGCCCUGGUGUUCCACCACAUGAUAGAGAGAGGGAUUAGUAUGAUGUGUCUUCCUUCACGGAGACUUGGGUUCAAAGCCAGGGAGAGAGCAUUUUACUUGGUCACAUUGCAGACUGGCUUGGGGCAGGCCUGCUGGAUCCUCAUCAACAUCAGCUGGUGGGGAAGGGAAAGCAUCAGCGGACCGAUGAAGUGGGAGGCUGGGGAAAUGGACAGGCUGAAGGACUAGAUCCUGCUGGGCAGGCAGUGCUCUUAGGGGCUGCGUCUGAGACUUGUGUUGGGUUCAGGCUCCAUUUGGGCAGGAGGCACUUUCCACGGAGGUCUAACCUGACAGGCAGGUACUGUAGCAGGAAAUGAUAUGGUAGGAAAUACCCAAGCCAGAGGGCCAUUGAUAUUCUGGUGGGUCCGUUGGUUCACAUUAAGAUUCCUGCAGACCUUUGGGGGUACAGAGAAUAAGACCCCAUGCUUGGGGGAGCUGGUGCUAGGAAGGGUGUCAGGGAGAACUGGCAAGUAAACUGAGGCCAAAGUCCAGUUGAACUCCAUAGUUGAAGAGGACUACACUCUCCUGGAGACCUUGCUGGAGCUGUUGCAUAGACUGGCUCUGGGAUUAAGUGCUAGACCACUGAAACCAGGCACGACCUCAGAGUCCUUUUCACACAGUUCUAUAGAGAAUCAGAGACAGUCAUCACAGACGGCAUUCAAGAUGUCCUUGAUAACCCCGGGAAUGCAACCACUUCCUAUCUUUUUCAAGACCCAGCUUGCUGUCCCUUCUUCCGUGAAGCCUUCUUAAACCUUCUGCACCUGGCCCUUCCCUCUGUUAACUCUUGCCUCUCUGCAGCAUCAAAGUUUGUCUAUGGCCUGGGAGCUUCUCCGGAUUGAGACUGGCCCUCAGCAUGUGCCCUUCAGGGUGUUGGCCCAGGCUUAGGCGGGAGGAGAACAAGGCUGCGUCUGUGGGCAUUCGAGGACGUAUCAGGAAUCUCAUGACUGCUCCGGAAGUGGAGUCCCUGGCUUUCACCCUCAGAGACUUCCGUCUUCUGUGAUGUAUUAUAUACACUGGGAUCAAACCAGUCUUGAUGAACCUGACUUUUGACAACGGUUCUAACACUGUUGCCUUUAUUCAGUGUCAGCUGAACUAUUUCUGUCUAACUUGGCUGCCUAACCUACAAAUUUUUUCGAAUCAGA
rnacentral:lncRNA from 1 species